GAUGAACGCUGGCGGCGUGCCUAAUACAUGCAAGUCGAGCGAACAGACGAGGAGCUUGCUCCUCUUACGUUAGCGGCGGAUGGGUGAGUAACACGUGGAUAACCUACCUAUAAGACUGGGAUAACUUCGGGAAACCGGAGCUAAUACCGGAUAAUAUAUUGAACCGCAUGGUUCAAUAGUGAAAGACGGUUUUGCUGUCACUUAUAGAUGGAUCCGCGCCGCAUUAGCUAGUUGGUAAGGUAACGGCUUACCAAGGCGACGAUGCGUAGCCGACCUGAGAGGGUGAUCGGCCACACUGGAACUGAGACACCGUCCAGACUCCUACGGGAGGCAGCAGUAGGGAAUCUUCCGCAAUGGGCGAAAGCCUGACGGAGCAACGCCGCGUGAGUGAUGAAGGUCUUCGGAUCGUAAAACUCUGUUAUUAGGGAAGAACAAAUGUGUAAGUAACUAUGCACGUCUUGACGGUACCUAAUCAGAAAGCCACGGCUAACUACGUG
rnacentral:rRNA from 1 species